rnacentral:rRNA from 1 species
UUCCUGCUCAAUGAUUAUUAAAUAGCCGCAGUACCUUGACUGUGCAAAGGUAGCAUAAUCAAUUGGCUUAUAAUUGAAGUCUAGAAUGAAUGGAUAUUUGGGAGAUUACUCUCUUUUAGUUAAUUUAUUGAAAUUAUUUAUUAAGUGCAAAUUCUUAUAUAUAUAUAAUAGACGAGAAGACCCUAGAAAUUUUUUUAAAAUAACUUUUAUUUUAUUAUUUUGUUGGGGCAACAUAACUACAAGUAAUUAGUUCAAUUUAAAUUGAAGUUAAUCAGAAUUAAGAUAAUUACUCUAGGGAUAACAGCAUAAUUAAUUAAUUAGAUUAUGACCUCGAUGUUGGAUUAGGAUCUUUAUUAUUCAAAAGAUAGUAAAAUUGCUCUGUUCGAGCAUUAGUUCCU